GACGAACGCUGGCGGCGUGCUUAACACAUGCAAGUCGAACGGUGAAGCGCCUUCCUUUUUGGUGGGUGUGGAUGAGUGGCGAACGGGUGAGUAACACGUGAGUAACCUGCCCCCUUCUUCUGGAUAACCGCAUGAAAGUGUGGCUAAUACGGGAUAUUCUGGGUCUGUCGCAUGAUGGGUCUGGGAAAGAUAUUGUUUCGGUGGGGGAUGGGCUCGCGGCCUAUCAGCUUGUUGGUGGGGUGAUGGCCUACCAAGGCGGUGACGGGUAGCCGGCCUGAGAGGGUGGACGGUCACACUGGGACUGAGACACGGCCCAGACUCCUACGGGAGGCAGCAGUGGGGAAUAUUGCACAAUGGGCGCAAGCCUGAUGCAGCGACGCCGCGUGAGGGAUGGAGGCCCUCGGGUUGUGAACCUCUUUCGCCAGUGAAGCAGGCCUGCCUCGUUUGUGGGUGGGUUGACGGUAGCUGGAUAAGAAGCGCCGGCUAACUACGCG
rnacentral:rRNA from 1 species